rnacentral:rRNA from 1 species
AGUGAACGCUGGCGGUAGGCCUAACACAUGCAAGUCGAACGGCAGCACAGUAAGAGCUUGCUCUUACGGGUGGCGAGUGGCGGACGGGUGAGGAAUACAUCGGAAACUACUUUUUCGUGGGGGAUAACGUAGGGAAACUUACGCUAAUACCGCAUACGACCUACGGGUGAAAGCAGGGGAUCUUCGGACCUUGCGCGAUUGAAUGAGCCGAUGUCGGAUUAGCUAGUUGGCGGGGUAAAGGCCCACCAAGGCGACGAUCCGUAGCUGGUCUGAGAGGAUGAUCAGCCACACUGGAACUGAGGCACGGUCCAGACUCCUACGGGAGGCAGCAGUGGGGAAUAUUGGGCAAUGGGCGCAAGCCUGAUCCAGCCAUACCGCGUGGGUGAAGAAGGCCUUCGGGUUGUAAAGCCCUUUUGUUGGGAAAGAAAAGCAGCAGGUUAAUACCCCGCUGUUCUGACGGUACCCAAAGAAUAAGCACCGGCUAACUUCGUG